rnacentral:rRNA from 1 species
CUACGGGUGGCUGCAGUGGGGAAUAUUGCACAAUGGAGGAAACUCUGAUGCAGCAACGCCGCGUGGAGGAUGACACUUUUCGGAGCGUAAACUCCUUUUAUAUAGGAAGAAGAUGACGGUACUAUAUGAAUAAGCGCCGGCUAACUCCGCUGUCAGGAGCCGCGGUAAUACGGAGGGCGCAAGCGUUACUCGGAAUAACUGGUCGUAAAGAGCGUUUAGGCGGAUUAAAAAGUCAGAAGUGAAAUCCUAUAGCUUAACUAUAGAACUGCUUCUGAAACUCUUAAUCUAGAAUAUGGGAGAGGUAGAUGGAAUUUCUUGUGUAGGGGUAAAAUCCGUAGAGAUCAGAAGGAAUACCGAUUGCGAAGGCGAUCUACUAGAACAUUAUUGACGCUGUGACGCGAAAGCGUGGGGAGCAAACAGGAUUAGUUAUCCGCGUAGUC